UUUCCGUAGGUGAACCUGCGGAAGGAUCAUUACUGAGUCUGGGUGGCCCUUGAACCGGCGCCCGCCCUCUUAACCCAGUGUCAAAAUUACACCUUGAAUGUUGCUUCGGCGGGACGGUCGUUAACCCGACCGCCGGGGGACUGGUUUUCACAACUAGUUCUCUGGAGCGUUUGCCCGCCGAUGGCCUCAACCAAAACUCUUGAACAAAACCAUGUCUAAAACGUAUACCCAUAUAUUAAUGGAUAAACAAAACUUUCAACAACGGAUCUCUUGGUUCUGGCAUCGAUGAAGAACGCAGC
rnacentral:misc_RNA from 1 species